GAAAUCCAACUUUAGAUUUCUGUCUGAAUGUCGAGGAAGAGCAUAUGCCACUUUGUAUUUAUGUAAAAUAAUUGGCCCUCCCUGUCAUUUCUCAUUUCAUGCUUGAAAUGGCUUUCUGAAACAAACAAAUGACUGUCCAGGAUUAAGAUGUGCAUCGAGGUGAAUGAGCUGUAAAGUCACAGGUCACAGCAGCCCCUCCGAUAGUUGGGCUCAUCGCUGGUUCUUCAUCUGCCCAGGUCUAACCAAGCCGGCUGCUCAAGGGGCUACUUUUGUAGUGCUUUAAUCCGAAUUUAGUAUCCUCUCUUAAAAAAAAAAAAAAAAGCUCUUUAAUGUUAGUGGUAAACUAGCUAAUGAGCUGUGCCUCAUCGUGGAAGUAUACACUUCUGUUGUUGGUGGGGGGAAUAGAAGAACCCCUUCCCGGUGUGUGUUGAGCAUCACAAAGCCAUCAGCAUCACUAGUCACAAAUGCUACUUUUUUUCCUCCCUGUGGUUUUGAAUCUAGUUUCCAAGUCAUAGCCUGGACUGCAAAAAGUACCAUCAAGUCCCCUCGGGUGGGGGUAUUGCAACAGUGUUUCUUUUGUUGUUUGAAAUGUUUACAAGGUGUUCUUUGGAAGCAGCUGCAACAUGUGGAUAGAACUGAAGGAAGGGCUGACUGGCUUGCUAACAGUAUCUCCUGCAGGGGUCUGUGUUACGUACUUUGAAUGUUUUCUCAGCUCUACCGCUUGUAUGCUUUCUUACAUAAAAUAAAAUUAUUUUGUGAAUUCAAA
rnacentral:lncRNA from 1 species